UAUUCAGGGCUGGAUCGGGCCUGCGCUGGUUUUUGCCGCGGUGAUAUUUCUGAGCAAUGAUUAUCACCGGGUGAAAAUACAGCACAGGCCCUUUCGGUCCUU
rfam:Caenorhabditis brenneri strain PB2801 C_brenneri-6.0.1_Cont34.27, whole genome shotgun sequence.